rnacentral:rRNA from 1 species
GAUGAACGCUGGCGGCGUGCCUAAUACAUGCAAGUCGAGCGAACAGACGAGGAGCUUGCUCCUCUGACGUUAGCGGCGGACGGGUGAGUAACACGUGGAUAACCUACCUAUAAGACUGGGAUAACUUCGGGAAACCGGAGCUAAUACCGGAUAAUAUAUUGAACCGCAUGGUUCAAUAGUGAAAGACGGUUUUGCUGUCACUUAUAGAUGGGUCCGCGCCGCAUUAGCUAGUUGGUAAGGUAACGGCUUACCAAGGCAACGAUGCGUAGCCGACCUGAGAGGGUGAUCGGCCACACUGGAACUGAGACAAGGUCCAGAAUCCUACGGGAGGCAGCAGUAGGGAAUCUUCCGCAAUGGGCGAAAGCCUGACGGAGCAACGCCGCGUGAGUGAUGAAGGUCUUCGGAUCGUAAAACUCUGUUAUUAGGGAAGAACAAAUGUGUAAGUAACUAUGCACGUCUUGACGGUACCUAAUCAGAAAGCCACGGCUAACUACGUG